UACAGAGACCUCAAACGUUGUCCGGAUUUAUUGGGCGUAAAGGGUCCGCAGGCGGUCUUAUACGUCGAUGGUGAAAUCAUCGGGCUCAACCCGGUGCCUGCCGUCGAUACGGUAAGACUAGAGUAUGGGAGAGGUAAGCGGAAUUGCCGGUGUAGUAGUAAAAUGCGUUCAUAUCGGCAAGAACACCAAAUGCGAAGGCAGCUUACUGGAACAUUACUGACGCUCAGGGACGAAAGCGUGGGGAGCGAAAGGG
rnacentral:rRNA from 1 species